rnacentral:rRNA from 1 species
CCUACGGGUGGCAGCGGUGGGGAAUAUUGCACAAUGGGGGAAACCCUGAUGCAGCGACGCCGCGUGAAGGAAGAAGUAUUUCGGUAUGUAAACUUCUAUCAGCAGGGAAGACAAUGACGGUACCUGACUAAGAAGCCCCGGCUAACUACGUGCCAGCAGCCGCGGUAAUACGUAGGGGGCAAGCGUUAUCCGGAUUUACUGGGUGUAAAGGGAGCGGAGGCGGUUUAGCAAGUCAGACGGGAAAGCCCGGGGCUCAACUCCGGGACUGCUUUUGAAACUGUUGAACUAGAGUGCAGGAGAGGUAAGUGGAAUUCCUAGUGUAGCGGUGAAAUGCGUAGAUAUUAGGAGGAACACCAGUGGCGAAGGCGGCUUACUGGACUGUAAAUGACGCUGAGGCUCGAAAGCGUGGGGAGCAAACAGGAUUAGAUACCCGGGUAGUC